GGUUUGUGUACAGCGCCCAGCCUCGUUUUGAUCUCUCGCUGCGGACACUGCGGUUGGUGUUGGUUUGCGGUUACGGUGGCUGUAAUAAUGGAAUUUUUAACUUUGUACGGACUGCUGCUAGAAGAAACCUGCACUCGAUCGUGAUGAAGACAAGCCUCUCUAACAAUGUGUCUCCUCUUGAAAAGAAAAGGAAUUCUGCUUCCACGGAGAUUAAAUGACAAGCAUACAUCAGAGAAACAUUUUACUGUCAUUGACAAAACAAUAAACGACUGAGAGCCAAUGAAGAAAUUGUGAAACUUGUUUGAACGGAACACAGGAAAUUGAGUUUUAUAAGCAUUUUGAACAAAGUGAGCCAGAAAGUCAUCGCAGACCGAGCAACAGGGUUAAUACUGAAGUGGCUCCAAUGUGGAACACUCAAAGUUGGUUUCCAACAAUGAUGUGCAUGUGUGUUUGGCCUCCAUUGAUUCUAAAACAUCCAAAGAGAAUUGGAGUCUAGCUAAAUUAACUUUUUAAGUUAACUAUGUUAAUUGCUGGCAGUAGUAUCUGGACAGCGGUCACUGUCACACUUAGAUUUAGAAAACAUGCAUACCAGUAGUUAAUAUGCAUAUAAAAUAGUGUUUCAUUUAAAACUUUACUUAAGCAAUGUAACCUUCAUUUCAUGCAGGACCUUUGGUCGUAAGGAAGUUUUCUGAGCAUUCUUUAUACAGUGAAACUGCUAUUACGACCACCCAUGGGACUUAAUAAAUAUGGUCUUAUUAGAAGGGUGGGCUUGUUAGUGGGUUACUAUCAUUUUAUGUUGAUUCCAAAUUAUAUACAAUUAUAACAUAUGAAAUAGAUUGCAAAUAUCAUUUAUUUUAAUUAUUUACAGUGAGCACUAAAAUAGGAUUAAGAACUAAUGUCGAUGAAUUUAUAAAUACUGAAUAUAUUAUUCGAAAUUAUAUGAAAAAAGUGUAUUGUCUGUUGAAUUUGAUGUUUCUAAUAACAAUGUUGCAUAUAAAAUUAUAUCGAAAUAUAGUGAUAGUACGACUACAACAUUCAUGUUUGGGUUUCAGCACUUUGACAUAACUCGCUCAAGAUAUACAAACCCACUUUGUCAAUGCCACCUCUCUAAAUAACAAUUUGUUUUGUUACUUUUUGGAUUAGUUGGUCACCUUAAUGGAACGAUAUUCCAGUUAACAAUUAAGUUCGUCCUGUCUCGUAGGGAUGACUGUGAAUGUGUAUCUUCAACUAAACAAUAAUAUAUGCAUGUAAUCAACGUUCUGGGCUGGGCAUUAAAGUAAUUGUAGUGAU